AGUAGACGGAGUUAACAGCCAGGCAGAGAAAUGGUGUCACUUAGCAACUGGAAGGCCUGUCUCCCACUGCCCCCCCCACCCCCGUCUUUUCCAGUGUAAGUGGAGUACUCACAAUCAAGGUGCUUCUUCUUGGGGCCCAUCACUUCAUGUGUGGUGGCUUUGCAGGCUGCCUUGGUAACAGCUGAGCCGGUGACACUGUGCUGGGCUGCGGUGAUCCGAUCCGUGAUCGACUGACCAGACAUGAUCCGACAGGACGACCCUUUCUCAGGAAUUUGAUGUGAGUCAGUUUUAAAUUGGACUUUGAAAACAGGCUAUGAGGAAACACACCAGUGCCUUCCUUUUAAAAGAGGUCGGAAAAGAAAAGAAACUAAACACCACCUUGGUUACGGACAUUGGAGGAGAACAGUAAAAAUUAUUCGAUCCACCUCUCCCUCUUGUGUGUGAUGCUGCCAAAUUUCCGGAUUUAAAGACGCUGAAGCCACUUUUACAGCCACUGAGAAGAUCAAUUGAACCAGUGGACGCAGAUCGCAUUUGAAGAUGGAUAACUUUCAAACAAAUCUGUGGAAAUUAUUAAUUCAAUGAACAAAAAAGCAGUCUGUGUAAAAGACUCCCUGAAGAAAUGGUGAAAGCAAACAGAAAUGAUUGACUCAAAUGUAUAUAUUUGUUAUAGAACAGUAAAAGAUUAAAAGGAUACUGUAUAUGAGUAAUCUGAGAUUGACAUAUAAGUGCAGCAUGUUGGGAGGAUCAGGUAACUUCGUAACUAUGGUACAUACAGCUCCAUACCAUUGGGGCUUUCCACGCAUCAUGUUAAGGCAUGUUGUAGAUUAUAAAUAAAAGAUUUAUUGCUAUGAUUACGCAACAGUUAUUCUAUUAAAAUGCCACUAGGACAGCAAAUGAGAUUUGUAACCUUAGGAUCAUCGAAAACCCAGCUGCUCCGUUAGGAGUGCCAUCUCAUUCACCUUUAUCUAUUCCUGAGCUCAUUGAACUACAUUUAUUCUUAAUUAAGCAAAAUCUUGUUUUUAUAAUUCUUAUCCUUGUUUUCAAAUCCUUUUAUGGCCUUGACCAUCCUUAUCUUUAUAAAAUUCUUCAGUUCUGCAACCUUCUGGGAUAUUUGAGCUCCAUUAAUUCUGAUCUAUUGAGCAUUUCUGACUUUAAUCACAAUUGUGGCUGUGCCUUCAGCUACCUAGAUUCCAAGCUGUGGAUUUUCCUCACCACCUUUUGUUCCUCCUUUAAAACACUCCUUAAAUUCUACAUCUUUACCAAACUUUUGGCCAUAUUUUCUAACAUCACCUGAUAGCUUAGUCUCAAAUUUUUGUUCUGUAGUACUCCUGUGGAUACCAUAGGACAUUUUAAUAAAUUAAAGAUGACAUUAUAAAUACAA